rnacentral:lncRNA from 1 species
UGCUGUAUAUAACCUGUUGAGGAUAUUUAUAGCAGGCAGGAGGCAGGCCUAGUGUGUUAUUGACAGGUGACUUUAGAGAAUGUACAUUAAGGAACAAUUGUCCUCCAAAAGAGAGCCAAGCAACUGCUCUGGAGCCUCCUAGGCUGACUCUGCUGGAGGGUGAGACAAGCAGAUUCCCAUUGCAGCACUGGUCCCUGGGGUCCCCUGAACAGCUGUGCUCUCCACCCUUGUAUUGGUGAGUGGAUCUUGACUACAUCAGCCGUAAGCCUAGAAGAGAGCUGGAUCGAGGCGUUUUUAAUAAUUCGAGUUGGGAAGACCCGGAUGGUUCAUCAAAAUGAUGGUGUUGAGCACCCGGGAGGCAGACAUUGGGUAUUUGUUCACAAUUUUGCACCUGUAAGAAAAUGUUCCUUUAUAACUUUCAAGGAUUGCCGUGAGCAUCUUUGGGGCCUUUUCAUUCAUGUACAAGUUUCAUUCAUUACUAUUCAACUUGGUAGACUUGGUGAAAAACGUAAAAGCAUUCUGUAUUUGGAUCAGUCUUGGGAACUAAAUUUGUCGUGAAUUGGGGCCUGUCACAGAUUGCCUCCAGUGUGCAUCCUCCACGCAGACCCUCCUUGCUCAGUCUCCCUCUGGCGCCCAUGGGGAAGCCGUGCUGUGGUUGGCAGUGCGGCCAUCUGGGCUGCCGCAACGUGGCAGGGCACCGUCCAGCAAGACUGCCCCUUAGUGCAGGGCUAAGCAAGGAAAAGAAGAAGCCCAAAAAAGUGGGUUCUUUUUGAUACUUGU